UAAGCGGAGGAAAAGAAACUAACAAGGAUUCCCCUAGUAACUGCGAGUGAAGCGGGNAAAGCUCAAAUUUAAAAUCUGGCGGUCUUAGGCCGUCCGAGUUGUAAUUUAGAGAAGCGUCUUCCGCGCCGGACCGUGCACAAGUCUCCUGGAAUGGAGCGUCAUAGAGGGUGAGAAUCCCGUCUUUGGCACGGAUGCCUGGUGCUUCUGUGAUGCGCUCUCGAAGAGUCGAGUUGUUUGGGAAUGCAGCUCAAAAUGGGUGGUGAACUCCAUCUAAAGCUAAAUAUUGGCGAGAGACCGAUAGCGAACAAGUACCGUGAGGGAAAGAUGAAAAGCACUUUGGAAAGAGAGUGAAACAGUACGUGAAAUUGUUGAAAGGGAAACGCUUGAAGUCAGUCGCGUCGACCGAGACUCAGCCUUGCCUCGGCUUGGUGUACUUCUCGGCCCGACGGGUCAGCGUCAAUUUUGCUCCUCGGAUAAUGGCAAGGGAAAGGUGGCACCUUUACGGGUGUGUUAUAGUCUCCUGUCGCAUGCGAGGGGUGGGAUUGAGGAACUCAGCGCGCACCUUGGUGUCGGGGCUUCUGCCCACGUCACGCGCUUAGGAUGCUGGCGUAAUGNCUUUAAACGANC
rnacentral:rRNA from 1 species